UAUGAGGCAACGAGGCUGGAGGCAGACACAUCAGGGAGGAAGCAAUUGAAAUAUUCCGGGCAAGAGAUAAUGACGCUUACCACAGGGCAGUAAUUGCUGGGAGAGAGAGAACAGCCAUGAAUCUUAGGCUCGUGUGAUUUCUCAGUGGAGAAGAAGUCUUGUCUAAUGGGAGGUACAGAGGGAAGGCUUCCUGGAACAUGUGGAGAAAAACCAGGAAGGUGAUCCAAAUGAAAGCAGAAACCACCCGGCUGGAUCAGAGAGGAUCCAGCAUCAGAGCCCUUGAAAGCCCAGGCAGUGGCCAGAAGACCCAGGCUCCCACCCUGGUGUUGACCCAUCCACGUGCUCAACAGAAAAUGGACCUGCUGGUUCUUACUUUUAUGGCCGAGAGAGCUGGUGCCUAGCUGCCAGAUCCAGAGCCCUGCUGCGUACCGGG
rnacentral:lncRNA from 1 species